UACGGAGGGUGCAAGCGUUAUCCGGAUUCACUGGGUUUAAAGGGUGCGUAGGUGGGCAGGUAAGUCAGUGGUGAAAUCUCCGGGCUUAACCCGGAACUGCCGUUGAUACUAUUUGUCUUGAAUAUAGUGGAGGUGAGCGGAAUAUGUCAUGUAGCGGUGAAAUGCUUAGAUAUGACAUAGAACAUCGAUUGCGAAGCAGCUCGCUACACUGAUUAUUGACACUCGAGGCACGAAAGCGUGGGGAUCAAACAGG
rnacentral:rRNA from 1 species